UACGGUGAAUACGUUCCCGGACCUUGUACACACCGCCCGUCAAGCCAUGGAAGCCGGGUGUACCUAAAGUCGGUAACCGCAAGGAGCUGCCUAGGGUAAAACUGGUAACUGGGCU
rnacentral:rRNA from 1 species